rnacentral:rRNA from 1 species
GUCUACGGCCAUACCACCCUGAACACACCCGAUCUCGUCUGAUCUCGUAAGCUAAGCAGGGUCGGGCCUGGUUAGUACUUGGAUGGGAAACCAAACAUCAGAAACACAGCAUCUUAAAAA